GAACUGAAGAGUUUGAUCAUGGCUCAGAUUGAACGCUGGCGGCAGGCCUAACACAUGCAAGUCGAGCGGUAGAGAGAAGCUUGCUUCUCUUGAGAGCGGCGGACGGGUGAGUAAAGCCUAGGAAUCUGCCUGGUAGUGGGGGAUAACGUUCGGAAACGGACGCUAAUACCGCAUACGUCCUACGGGAGAAAGCAGGG
rnacentral:rRNA from 1 species